rnacentral:snRNA from 1 species
AUCACUUCUCUGCCUUUUGGCUAAGAUCAAGUGUAGUAUCUUCGCUGAGGUGGAUGGGGUGCAUCUAGAUAAGGGUGCAUCUAUGUGUAUCCAUCCAUU